rnacentral:rRNA from 1 species
GAGUUUGAUCCUGGCUCAGGACGAACGCUGGCGGCGGGCUUAACACAUGCAAGUCGAAGGAGAAGGUGGAAGCUUGCUUUCACUGGAGACUGGCGAACGGGUGAGUAACGCGUAGAUAACCUGCCUUUAGCUGGGGGAUAACACUGCGAAAGUGGUGCUAAUACCGCAUAAUGCAGCGGGGCCGCAUGGCCACAGUUGUUAAAGGUUUCGACCGGCUAGAGAUGGGUCUGCGUGCUAUUAGUUAGUUGGUGAGGUAACGGCUCACCAAGGCGAUGAUAGCUAGGGGGUCUGAGAGGAUGAUCCCCCACACUGGGACUGAGACACGGCCCAGACCUCUACGGAGGGCAGCAGUGAGGAAUCUUGCGCAAUGGGCGAAAGCCUGACGCAGCCACGCCGCGUGUCGGAAGACGGCCCUAUGGGUUGUAAACGACUUUUAUCAGGGAAGAACGAGGGGGUUUUGAUCUCCUGUGACGGUACCUGAUGAAUAAGCACCGGCUAACUCCGUGCCAGCAGCCGCGGUAAUACGGAGGGUGCAAGCGUUGUCCGGAAUCAUUGGGUGUAAAGGGUGCGUAGGCGGACGUCUAAGUCUGAGGUGAAAUCUUGCCGCUUAACGGUAAAAUGGCCUUGGAUACUGGGCGUCUUGAGUGUAGAAGAGGCAGUGGAAUUCGUAGUGUAGCGGUGAAAUGCAUAGAUUAUUACGAAGAACAUCAGUGGGCGAAAGGCGGGCCUGCUGGUUCUUAACAACUGACGCUGAGCACGAAAGGCGGUGGGGAGGGCGAAACAGGGAAUUAAGAAUACCCUUGGUAAGUUC